GAAGGCCUUUGAAGCAGAGUGCAGCAAGCUAUGUGAGAAGCUUGAAGCUGAGAGGAAGGCCUUUGAAGCAGAGUGCAGCAAGCUGCGUGAAAGGAUUGAGUUUCAGGAAAAGGAGAUCAAGAAGUUGAAAUCAGUAUCUCUCAUGAUGGAAAGG